rnacentral:rRNA from 1 species
CCCUUAGAGUUUGAUCCUGGCUCAGGACGAACGCUGGCGGCGUGCCUAAUACAUGCAAGUCGAGCGAGUCUGCCUUGAAGAUCGGAGUGCUUGCACUCUGUGAAACAAGAUACAGGCUAGCGGCGGACGGGUGAGUAACACGUGGGUAACCUGCCCAAGAGAUCGGGAUAACACCUGGAAACAGAUGCUAAUACCGGAUAACAACAGAUGAUGCCUAUCAACUGUUUAAAAGAUGGUUCUGCUAUCACUCUUGGAUGGACCUGCGGUGCAUUAGCUAGUUGGUAGGGUAACGGCCUACCAAGGCGAUGAUGCAUAGCCGAGUUGAGAGACUGAUCGGCCACAUUGGGACUGAGACACGGCCCAAACUCCUACGGGAGGCAGCAGUAGGGAAUCUUCCACAAUGGACGCAAGUCUGAUGGAGCAACGCCGCGUGAGCGAAGAAGGUUUUCGGAUCGUAAAGCUCUGUUGUUGGUGAAGAAGGAUAGAGGUAGUAACUGGCCUCUAUUUGACGGUAAUCAACCAGAAAGUCACGGCUAACUACGUGCCAGCAGCCGCGGUAAUACGUAGGUGGCAAGCGUUGUCCGAAUUUAUUGGGCGUAAAGCGAGCGCAGGCGGAAGAAUAAGUCUGAUGUGAAAGCCCUCGGCUUAACCGAGGAACUGCAUCGGAAACUGUUUUUCUUGAGUGCAGAAGAGGAGAGUGGAACUCCAUGUGUAGCGGUGGAAUGCGUAGAUAUAUGGAAGAACACCAGUGGCGAAGGCGGCUCUCUGGUCUGCAACUGACGCUGAGGCUCGAAAGCAUGGGUAGCGAACAGGAUUAGAUACCCUGGUAGUCCAUGCCGUAAACGUUGGGCGCUAGGUGUGGGACUCAUUCCACGAGUUCCGUGCCGCAGCUAACGCAUUAAGCGCCCCGCCUGGGGAGUACGGCCGCAAGGCUAAAACUCAAAGGAAUUGACGGGGGCCCGCACAAGCGGCGGAGCAUGCGGAUUAAUUCGAUGCAACGCGAAGAACCUUACCAAGGCUUGACAUAUACCGGAAACAUCCAGAGAUGGGUGCCCCUUUUUGGUCGGUAUACAGGUGGUGCAUGGUUGUCGUCGGCUCGUGUCGUGAGAUGUUGGGUUAAGUCCCGCAACGAGCGCAACCCUCGUUCUAUGUUGCCAGCACGUAAUGGUGGGGACUCAUGGAAGACUGCCGGGGUCAACUCGGAGGAAGGUGGGGAUGACGUCAAAUCAUCAUGCCCCUUAUGUCUUGGGCUUCACGCAUGCUACAAUGGCCGGUACAAUGGGCUGCGAAACCGUAAGGUGGAGCGAAUCCCAAAAAACCGGUCUCAGUUCGGAUUGGGGUCUGCAACUCGACCCCAUGAAGUCGGAGUCGCUAGUAAUCGCAGAUCAGCAACGCUGCGGUGAAUACGUUCCCGGGCCUUGUACACACCGCCCGUCAAGUCACGAAAGUCGGUAACACCCGAAGCCGGUGGCCCAACCCUUGUGGGGGGAGCCGUCGAAGGUGGGACUGGCGAUUGGGACUAA